UGGCCAACCUCUCUUGCAUUACUACUCUUGUAUUUCCACUACCAUAUAAAUAAAAUUGUUGUUUCUACUUAGAAAAUUUAUUGUUGAGAGUCUACUCUAAUUAAGAUUUUGGUGUUUUUAUUCCUCAAAUCCCUUUUCCUGAUCCAACCAUGGAUUUCAUAAGGUCUUCAAUCAAACAGUCCACGAAAUGUUCAGAUAUUAGCUAUUAAGAAAUGACAAAGUCAGGCCUUCUAAAGUAAGGAAACAUACAUUUUAUACAAAAAGAAGAAAUAAUGUUGUUCGUAUGGUGUUGGCACAACAAUGUCACAAGAAAGAGUGCUCAAGAUGCGAGACUGUUACUCAAUUUUCAUUCAAGGUUAUUAUGAUGUAUGUUAAAAUUGUCUGUUAAUCUCCUUAUUAAUAAGGGACACAAUGAAAGGACGAACACAGCAUAUCCUAGUUUGUACUAAAGGUAGUAGAAACUGUACAGUAAAUUUGGCUUUCUUUUAUUGGAGAAUGAACAGGUGUCUCGCUUUAGGGAAGA